rnacentral:misc_RNA from 1 species
CCUCAACAAGGAUCCAACGUUAGACCGAGGUCCACAUCAUCAGCAUCAGCCAAUCACGUGCAGUGGUACUAUCCGGCGGGUUCACCUGCAUCCCCAUUUCAUCAUCCGCACCAUCAGGCCGUUUCUUUUUAUGGGUACACCCCAACUUAUGUUGCUGCUGACGUCAGUUACAAUCACAAGCUGAGCUACACAGGCGGGUCCUACAUAAACGGGCAUUUCUCUCAGGUGUACCCAGGACAGUCUAUUAUAGGUGCCAAUGCAGUAAUGCCAAUGUACCCGCUUUAUCACUUCUAUCAAUCACAGACAAUGGGCCUACCUGCCCAUAUUUUCCCACCAACCACAGCGGGACUCAUAAACACUGUCCCCACAAUAAUGUCGAAGCCCCC